UCUGUGAGAAUACCAGGAAGGUAUUAAUGCGGCCAAGGCAAGCUCGCUUCCACCAAUCCGUCAAUGUGCUAAGGUUGUGAGAUCCACUGCCAAGACUCACCACGAUUUUUAAAAAAAAGUCAGCGUGCAACUUAACUGUUUAGGGAGAGGUGGUAGCAGCCCAGUGCUAGUCUCUGUGGGUGUGUUUGGCCAAGUUAAUGUGAACACCAAGUGUUUACAAGUCCCGCCAGUGCACUACCGGCUGUUAAAGGGGUAACCGUAUGGAACCUGGUCUGCGUAUUUAAUACUCCAACUGGGUAAAACAGACACAGGGUGAAGGAAGGUAGAUGUGAAGCUGAAAUGGAUCGACGGGGAGAGCCAUGUGACUCCUAGGAGACAUCCUGCGGGAUCAUGUGUCCAUUUUGAGUGAGACAACUCACCUUCUCCUGGAUGGGAUGAACCUAUGUUUGGGUUUCCUAACUUUGAGGAACGCCGAAAUUGAAACUCUGCAACUUAAAGACAACAUUGUAAGUCAACCUGGUAUUUGGAAAAUGAAGCACUCAAUCUGGAUGAGUGUGCGCUGAUGCACUUGGGCAAGACAAACAAGGACAAUUCUAACAUCCCAGGGAUCUAUCUGGUGAACCUUCAUUGCACGCUCUUUACUGCCUGGGAAUGGGAAUGGAGGAGAUGAAAAUGGUGCCAAAAGUUGGGCACUAUGAUCUAGGGGUGCUCAUUGGCCAAAUAACAACACUCAGAACAUAUGGGAGACUCGGACAUUUUCGCCCAAAAAUUGCCCAGGAAAAUUCAAUCAGAAGGAAAUCUCAAGUUGAAACGAUGGAACCUGAGGAGCUGAUUCACCAAUCACAGAUACCCAAUGUCUCAAGUACAGAAGGUACUACAACACUGCAUCAGUGAAUAAAUGAAUUCAAAUGAAAAUCUAGCCAUUAAGAAAAUCUCACGAGGAGAAGGGGACCUGGACGUAUUUUGACUUCUCACCAAUUCUGGAUGAUGUGAAGGGAAGGAUUAAUGGUGGGAGGAGAGUCAGUAUAAUGGGCCCUGAUACGUGAGAAGCAUCAGCAUUUCUUACACCAGCCCUGAUGUGUGGUAUAGAUUAUUCAGUACCACCUCCUUAGACUGGGACAAUAAAUGCUAGCUUUGCCAGUGUUGCUGACACCCCAAGAAUUAAUCUAAUAAAUAUUUUACACAACA